AUUGAACGCUGGCGGCAUGCUUUACACAUGCAAGUCGAACGGCAGCACGGACUUCGGUCUGGUGGAGAGUGGCGAACGGGUGAGUAAUACAUCGGAACGUGCCCAGUUGUGGGGGAUAACUACUCGAAAGAGUAGCUAAUACCGCAUGAGAACUGAGGUUGAAAGCAGGGGAUCGUAAGACAUGGCGCAACUGGAGCGGCCGAUGGCAGAUUAGGUAGUUGGUGGGCUAAAAGCUUACCAAGCCGACGAUCGGUAGCUGGUCUGAGAGGACGACCAGGCAGACUGGGACAGAGAGUCGGCCCAGACACCUACGGGGGGCAGCAGUGGGGAAUUUUGGGCAAGGGGCGAAUGCCUGAUACAGCAAUGCCGCGGGCAGGAUGAAGGCCUUAGGGUUGUAAACUGCUUUUGUACGGAACGAAGAGCUUCGGGCUAAUACCCUGGAGUCAUGACGGUACCGUAAGAAUAAGCACCGGCUAACUACGUGCCAGCAGCCGCCGUAAGAC
rnacentral:rRNA from 1 species